GAUGAACGCUGGCGGCGUGCCUAAUACAUGCAAGUCGAGCGAACAGAUGAGGAGCUUGCUCCUCUGACGUUAGCGGCGGACGGGUGAGUAACACGUGGAUAACCUACCUAUAAGACUGGGAUAACUUCGGGAAACCGGAGCUAAUACCGGAUAAUAUAUUGAACCGCAUGGUUCAAUAGUGAAAGACGGUUUUGCUGUCACUUAUAGAUGGAUCCGCGCCGCAUUAGCUAGUUGGUAAGGUAACGGCUUACCAAGGCAACGAUGCGUAGCCGACCUGAGAGGGGGAUCGGCCACACUAGACGUGAGACACGGUCCAGACUCCUACGGGAGGCAGCAGUAGGGAAUCUGCCGCAAUGGGCGAAAGCCUGACGGAGCAACGCCGCGUGAGUGAUGAAGGUCUUCGGAUCGUAAAACUCUGUUAUUAGGGAAGAACAAAUGUGUAAGUAACUAUGCACGUCUUGACGGUACCUAAUCAGAAAGCCACGGCUAACUACGUG
rnacentral:rRNA from 1 species